AAUAGAAAGAUCAAGAACUCUGGAGCAUCUCAAUUUUCCACCUAUGAAUAGGUGUUUUCAGCUGAGCUUAAAUAAAUCAGGGCUUUGGCUAGAAAUAAAUGAUAAAGUUUUAUUCAGGGUCUUAGGGUUUGCAAACCAGAAACAACUGGGCAAUACCUAGAAUGUUCUCCAAGAAGAAAGAAAAGCUGAGGGUUCUUAAGAGGAAAAAGUACAUUCUUGAGAUGAAUCAGUCCUGCAUUAUUAGCCUCUGAUUAUAGUCCAAGAUGGUAAUCCUCUGGAUGGCAGGUGGGCUGGGUAAUGAAUGUCAAAUGGGCUGAAUAUGUGAAUAUUGUUUCCGUAGUUCUCCAGGUUUGAGGUAUAAUCCAGGCGCUGGUGCAGGACUGGAAUGAUCAAAAGUUUAAGUUCCCACGCUAGUUUAAAUAAGAAUAAAAUCCUUUUCUCAUACCUCAAUGUACUUCAUUUUAGUAAUUUAGCAGCUUGACUAUAGUGACUCCACUUUAUUUUUCCAUUCCAUUCCUCAGUAUUCAAAUUUUCAAACUGCAGCCACAUCGAUUAGGUUGAACCUUAUGAAAUUGGUUUCAUUAUCGAUGAAAACUGGAAUACCAGCAUUUCAGACAAUUCAACCUAAUAGUUACCUACUGUUUCCACAAGACCAUGUGUAAAAGAUGUUGUGGUGGGAAUUUUUUUGCACAAAAUGGGAUGUUAUUGACCUCUGAACAAUGACUUUAGGUUAAAUGUCCUGAGAUAGGUAUUAUAAAUGGGAAACCUGAAGUAAAGGGAAUACCUUAAUCUGUGCCUGUAUUGCUGACCUCCAGUCCUGGGCUCUUUCGGGUAUAAUUGAGCAAUUAGACAUAGGGUUCUCAGAUACAUGGUUUGAUAUUUCACUACCUUGAAACCCUGUGGGAGAAGUAUUAAAUGCCUACUUCAGCCAUCACAACUACCUCUAAGUCCUAGUUUUAAAACCAUCUUCAACCCAAAUGGAUCUCAUCUCAACCCCUCUCAUCCAAUCAGUUAUGGAGCCUAUGAAUUUUACCUCAGAGUAUCUCCCACCAUCUCCCAGCUCCACCAUUCUUCACCUGGCCCACACUUGUAACCCAUGGAUGCCCUUCCUUCAAUGCUUCCCCCUCUAAUAUGUCAUUGUAUUAGAAACAGUUAUUGAGUACCUACUAAGUGCCAGACACUGUGCUAGUUACCAGAAACAGAAAGGUAAGACAACCAUGUGAUAGUUUUAAAAACUGUCCUCAAGCUGUUUGAUACUCCUCCCUUCAAGGGGUGGCAAAUAAUCCCCCCACCCCCUUGAGUGUGACCUGGACUUAGUAGCUCACUGCUAACAAAUAGAAUAUGUGAUAAUUUCCAAGACUAGGUCAUAAAAGGCAUUUUGGGUUUUCUCCUUUCUCUUAUCUUGGAUCACUUGCUCUGGGGAAGCCAGCUGCCAUGUUGUAAGGAUACUCAAGCAGCUUAAUGAAGACAUCCUGAUGGCACGGAACAAAGGCCUCCCACCAACAACCAGCACUAAAUUGCCAGGUAUGUGAGUGAGCUAUCUUGGUAGCCGAUCCUCCAGCCCCAGUCAAGCCUUCAGAUGAUUGCAGACCCAGCUGACCUCUUGGUUCCAAAGCGAUGAGAGACCCUGAGCCAGAACUAGCCAGGCUUGUUCCUUGUGAUUACAAAGUGGCUGCAGCAGCUCCAGGCACUCCAUCCUUCAUAUAAAACCCAACAUCAGACAAGAAGAGGAGCAUUUUGAAGUGUAAAGAAAACUUUCUCAGAAACCCUGGAAUCCCCUCAUGCCUCACUGGCCAUAAUAGCACCACGAGAACAUUCCUAAAAUAGUCAUCGGCAAGGCGAGUGGAACUGGCAUGAUUGGAUUAACUUCACCAGGAAGGUAUCCUCAGAAGGACCAGAAGGAAUUCCAGCUGUUUUUGAAGAUCCUUACUACCCCUUACCUGAACAA